CAGCCGCCGCGGGAAUACGUAGGGUGCGAGCGUUAAUCGGAAUUACUGGGCGUAAAGCGUGCGUAGGCGGUGAGUUAAGUCUGCUGUGAAAUCCCCGGGCUCAACCUGGGAAUGGCAGUGGAUACUGGCUCGCUAGAGUGUGUCAGAGGACGGUGGAAUUCCCGGUGUAGCGGUGAAAUGCGUAGAGAUCGGGAGGAACAUCAGUGGCGAAGGCGGCCAUCUGGGACAACACUGACGCUGAGGCACGAAAGCGUGGGGAGCAAACAGGAUUAGAGACCCCGGUAGUCCCUGUCUCUUAUAA
rnacentral:rRNA from 1 species